UACGGAGGGCGCGAGCGUUACUCGGAAUUACUGGGCGUAAAGCGCGCGUAGGCUGUUGUGUAAGUUGGGGGUGAGAUCCCACGGCUCAACCGUGGAACAGCCCUUGAUACUGCGCGACUUGAAUCCGGGUGAGGGUGGCGGAAUUCCAGGUGUAGGAGUGAAAUCCGUAGAUAUCUGGAGGAACAUCAGUGGCGAAGGCGGCCACCUGGACCGGUAUUGACGCUGAGGCGCGAAAGCGUGGGGAGCAAACAGG
rnacentral:rRNA from 1 species